CGAGGGCCGCGGCGCCUCUCCGUGGAGCCGCCCAGUCCCGUGUCGGGGAAGCGCGGCUGCGGAUCCAGCGGCGUCAGCGCAGCCUGCACGGGGCUUGGCUUCUCUGGGGGCUGCGGAGGGGUCUCGGUGGUCCUCCUGCGGAGCGCGAAGCCAUCACAGAUGAAGACGAAACAUUCCCCCACCACCCGGGAGGCAGGCCUCGCUGACAGGCGGCGGGGAAGGCAGGUCUGCGAAGCUCUGCUCGGCGGGCCCCUUACUGACCCGGAGGCCGGAGGCCGCCGCCGCCCCGGGAAGGAGGAAGCCACACCAGGUCAAUGCAGCCUCUGUCCUCCUGGUUCUUCACGGGAAGGAAUCUAUGUCUCGUUUCUGUCACGUUGGCUCGUUGUGUGAUAUUUUAUUGAAAAUCUGUUGCAUCAUAAAAAAACAAAAACAAAACUCAUUCUUCCGAUAGGUGAAGCUGAGGGCAUAAAACAAAUGACCUUUGUGGGUUUUGGUAAAAGUUGUCUUGGCAAUAAAGUAUUUAAUUUGACAACAGGAAAAAAGGGGAAGCAUUUCAUAAAUGAAGCAAGGAUUUAAUCGUGUGCACUGUAUAUCUAUGCGCAUAUACAAGUAUUGUGUUCUGAGUGAUAAGAGCUUGAUUUGAUUCCUUAAAUAUUCGAUGGUUCAUAAAAGUAAUAAAAUAUAUUGCCACAAAUUCCA